UUUGAAAUCUUCCCGGGGAGUUGUAAUUUGAAGAUUGCGUCUUGGAGGCGACCGUGUCUAUGUUCCUUGGAACAGGACGUCACAGAGGGUGAGAAUCCCGUGCGGCACGGCCCCCGGCUCCUUAUAAGGCGCUCUCGACGAGUCGAGUUGUUUGGGAAUGCAGCUCAAAGUGGGUGGUAAAUUCCAUCUAAAGCUAAAUACAGGCGAGAGACCGAUAGCGAACAAGUACAGUGAUGGAAAGAUGAAAAGCACUUUGAAAAGAGAGUGAAACAGCACGUGAAAUUGUUGAAAGGGAAGGGCAUGCCGUCAGAUUGUCAGUGUGGGUAAGAAGCGGGGUACAAAGACUGUGGAACGUGGCCCUCGGGUGUUAUAGCCGCAGUUCAUGCCCCGUCUCUUUCCGAGGCCUGCUUUGAGGACACCGACGUAAUGACGGUACGCC
rnacentral:rRNA from 1 species